rnacentral:rRNA from 1 species
AUUGAACGCUGGCGGCAGGCCUAACACAUGCAAGUCGAGCGGAGCGGCGGACGGGUGCGUAAUACUUAUGUAUCUGCCUCGUACUGGUGGAUAGCGUCCGCAACCGGGCGCUAAUACCGCAUCCUAUCACCUGAGCCUAGGUCGGAAUAGCUAGUUGGUGGGGUAAAGGCCUACAAAGGCGACGAUCCGUAACUGGUCUGAGAGGAUGAUCAGUCACACUGGAACUGAGACACGGUCCAGACUCUUACGGGAGGCAGCAGUGGGGAAUAUUGGACAAGGGGCGAAAGCCGGAUCCAGCCAUGCCGCGUGUGUGAAGAAGGUCUUCGGGUUGUAAAGUACUUUAAGUGGGGAGGCGUUACCCGCAGAAUAAGCACCGGCUAACUUCGUGCCAGCAGCCGCGGUAAUAC